GACCCGUAAUCCGGGUUGCGGACAGUGUCUGGUGGGUAGUUUGACUGGGGCGGUCUCCUCCCAAAGAGUAACGGAGGAGCACGAAGGUUGGCUAAUCCUGGUCGGACAUCAGGAGGUUAGUGCAAUGGCAUAAGCCAGCUUGACUGCGAGCGUGACGGCGCGAGCAGGUGCGAAAGCAGGUCAUAGUGAUCCGGUGGUUCUGAAUGGAAGGGCCAUCGCUCAACGGAUAAAAGGUACUCCGGGGAUAACAGGCUGAUACCGCCCAAGAGUUCAUAUCGACGGCGGUGUUUGGCACCUCGAUGUCGGCUCAUCACAUCCUGGGGCUGAAGUAGGUCCCAAGGGUAUGGCUGUUCGCCAUUUAAAGUGGUACGCGAGCUGGGUUUAGAACGUCGUGAGACAGUUCGGUCCCUAUCUGCCGUGGGCGCUGGAGAAUUGAGGGGGGCUGCUCCUAGUACGAGAGGACCGGAGUGGACGCAUCACUGGUGUUCGGGUUGUCAUGCCAAUGGCACUGCCCGGUAGCUAAAUGCGGAAGAGAUAAGUGCUGAAAGCAUCUAAGCACGAAACUUGCCCCGAGAUGAGUUCUCCCUGAGACUUUAAGUCUCCUGAAGGAACGUU
rnacentral:rRNA from 1 species